rnacentral:tRNA from 1 species
UCUGUCCGUGGAUCGCCGGCUGAUCGCGCUCCAGAACGGGGCGAGCGAGGUGGUGGGCCUGACGCUCGCGCGGUUCGCGGCCCUGCGCCAGAAC